UUAAUCAUAGCUAAAAAAGCAAUAUUAUUGUUAAUAAUAAGAUAAGUGUUUAAACUUUGAUUAAG
rnacentral:tRNA from 1 species